rnacentral:rRNA from 1 species
AUGCUGAUGCGCACCCCCCACGACUUGCCGCUGGUUCACCUCCCUUGCGCAGACGACGAGCUUCGACUCCGGGUGCUUGACCCAGUGACGGGUGCCGAUCUCGCGUUACCUGAUGUCGACCACGAUAAACAGCACUGCUAUAGUGCAUUGUUUAUGAUCGGUAAAGUGUCGAGCGGAGACUACAAGGUGUUGUGCCUUAGUAUGUGUACGUCCGUGUCCAAUGGACAGCAGCUCUGCAAGGUUCUCAACCUCUCGGGCGACCGUCGGUGGAGAGACACGGCGUGCCCGCCGGCCAUGGUCAGGAUGGGCCGCCUGGACGGGGCAGCCGUCAAUGGGGUCGCUUACCUCUUGCUGACCACCAUACACCGCCGUCGUCUGCAGGGUUCCAACGGAUGUAUCGUGGCAUACGACCUGGAGAAGGAGGCAUGGCGGCCAGCUUCUCUGCCAAUCCCGGUACCCAGCAACAAACAACGGCCAAGAGACAUGUUCCACCACGUCUUGGCCGAGCUGAGCGGCUGCUUGGCCCUACUAUACGACGACGGACACUCGUUUAUGGAGUUGUGGUUUCUCGUGGACCCUGACAAGGUUACCUGGUCUAAGCAGUGCACCAUCACGCGCACCGUGCCGUAUCCUUAUCAGGGUGCCGGAUAUCGGGGGGAGCCCUUGUGGUUGCUAGAUGAUGGGAGGCUCAUCAUUUGGAUUUGGAGGUCUCCAGAAUUUUCCAACGUAUUGUGUAUGUAUGAUCCAAGAACCAUGACCUAUACGGAUGUGACAGAGAUGCCAAACAGCACGCCAGGAGGAGUGUACACUGGGAGCUUGUUGGGUGGAGGGAGUUUUCACCUUCUCCACCAAGGAGGUUUAGUACAAGUACAAUGA